rnacentral:rRNA from 1 species
AAUAGAUACCCCGGUAGUCCACGCCGUAAACGAUGAGCGCUAAGUGUUAGAGGGUUUCCGCCCUUUAGUGCUGCAGCUAACGCAUUAAGCACUCCGCCUGGGGAGUACGGCCGCAAGGCUGAAACUCAAAGGAAUUGACGGGGGCCCGCACAAGCGGUGGAGCAUGUGGUUUAAUUCGAAGCAACGCGAAGAACCUUACCAGGUCUUGACAUCCUCUGCCAACCCUAGAGAUAGGGCGUUCCCCUUCGGGGGACAGAGUGACAGGUGGUGCAUGGUUGUCGUCAGCUCGUGUCGUGAGAUGUUGGGUUAAGUCCCGCAACGAGCGCAACCCUUGAUCUUAGUUGCCAGCAUUCAGUUGGGCACUCUAAGGUGACUGCCGGUGACAAACCGGAGGAAGGUGGGGAUGACGUCAAAUCAUCAUGCCCCUUAUGACCUGGGCUACACACGUGCUACAAUGGAUGGUACAAAGAGCUGCGAACCCGCGAGGGUAAGCGAAUCUCAUAAAGCCAUUCUCAGUUCGGAUUGUAGG